GCGUCGUUUGCGACGCCCAACACACAAAACAAGCGGUGAGUGCUUUGGGGUGGGGUGACUGCGUACCUUUUGUAUAAUGGGUCAGCGACUUAUAUUCUGUAGCAAGGUUAACCGUAUAGGGGAGCCGUAGGGAAACCGAGUCUUAACCGGGCGUUAAGUUGCAGGGUAUAGACCCGAAACCCGGUGAUCUAGCCAUGGGCAGGUUGAAGGUUGGGUAACACUAACUGGAGGACCGAACCGACUAAUGUUGAAAAA
rnacentral:rRNA from 2 species